rnacentral:misc_RNA from 1 species
AACGCAUAUUGCGCUCGAGACUUCGGUCGAGAGCAUGUCUGUCUCAGCGUCGGCUCACCCCUCGCCCCUCCCCUUUUCAUUCGAAAGAGGUUGGCGGCGGACGUGGCCGUCUCGUUUCCUUUUUUGGAGACGGGUCGGCUGAAGUGCAGGGCUCGCGGCGCGACUCUUUCAAAAGAGCGCCAGCAUGGUAGGUGGCUUCACGCUGCAUGCCGCUGUCGUUCGACCGGAGAGCUCCAAUGCCGCUCGGCCAUAAGCAGGAAUUUUUUCGGACGGCCCUCAAAAGCCGAUCGGAAAUUCAAACCUUCGACCUGAGAUCAGACAAGACCACCCGCUGAACUUAA